CGCAAAGCCGCCUUUUUUUUCUAAUUCUCGUCGCAACUCCGUCUCAAUCUCUCUGAUCCCAAAUCGGCCGCCAAUUGAAAUCGGAAAUUGGAUAAUUGUCCAUUUAUUUCAUAUUACUUACGCUCAAUCAGGUAAAAAUAUACGGCUAAAUCUAUUUUCAUGUCUAGUUGCGUAAAAUUCUUUUUCUUUCUUGAAAAGAAUUUUUUUAUUUUUCUGUUUAAUCAGAAACUAUUGAGGAUUGGAACCUCUUGAUUUGUUCGAAGCUGAACGAAAAUCUGUGUAAUAAUUUUCUUUUUUGUCAUCGAUUUCAUUUUUUUAUGAAUUUUUCUGCCGUCUACUUAUAUAUGUCAAUUUUACGAACUUUGGAGAUUCUUCCUGAAAAUUCAUGUUUAAGUCUGAAGGAGGGCUUUAGGAAAAUAAUCAGAAGAGCAUUUUUAAGUCCCCAUAAAUUGAUUAUUGCAAGUUAGAGAUUGGUGGAAAACUUAUCUUGCCUAUUUUUGGUUUAUUCUUUUAUUCUUUAUAUACAUUUUGGGAAAUGAAGUUGAAAUUUAGUUAUAAAUUUUGCUGAAAUUUUGUUUCAUACUUUUGGUUAGGACACUGAAAUGAGUAUUUAUUAAUCAAAGUUGCAAUAAGUCCACAUGAAAUUACUCUAAGGGUCCGUUUUACUGCAAAUAUGUAAUUAAAACGAAUUUUAGGGAAUUGAAUUGCCUAAAAAUUGUUUUCUUGAGAAUUGUAAAUUAUUGUGUUUGAUUGGUAUAAUUUUCCACGUGAAAAAUAUUAAAAUAAAAGUGUUUUUGGUGUUCGUUUGAUUUUGUUUUACAUGAAAAUUAUCAAUUAAAG
rnacentral:lncRNA from 1 species